UCUGAAUAGGGCGCAUAAGUAACAGGUCGUAGACCCGAAACCAGGUGAUCUACCCAUGUCCAGGAUGAAGGUAAGGUAAUACUUACUGGAGGUCCGAACCCACGCACGUUGAAAAGUGCGGGGAUGAGGUGUGGGUAGCGGAGAAAUUCCAAUCGAACUUGGAGAUAGCUGGUUCUCUCCGAAAUAGCUUUAGGGCUAGCCUCGAGGUAAAGAGUCAUGGAGGUAGAGCACUGUUUGGACUAGGGGCCCUUCUCGGGUUACCGAAUUCAGAUAAACUCCGAAUGCCAUGUACUUAUACUCGGGAGUCAGACUGCGAGUGAUAAGAUCCGUAGUCGAAAGGGAAACAGCCCAGACCACCAGUUAAGGUCCCCAAAUAUAUGUUAAGUGGAAAAGGAUGUGGGGUUGCUUAGACAACCAGGAUGUUGGCUUAGAAGCAGCCACCAUUGAAAGAGUGCGUAAUAGCUCACUGGUCGAGUGACCCCGCGCCGAAAAUGUACCGGGGCUAAACAUAUUACCGAAACUGUGGAUGAACCUCUUUAGAGGUUCGUGGUAGGAGAGCGUUCUAAGGGCGGUGAAGUCAGACCGGAAGGACUGGUGGAGCGCUUAGAAGUGAGAAUGCCGGUAUGAGUAGCGAAAGAAGGGUGAGAAUCCCUUCCACCGAAUAUCUAAGGUUUCCUGAGGAAGGCUCGUCCGCUCAGGGUUAGUCGGGACCUAAGCCGAGGCCGAUAGGCGUAGGCGAUGGACAACAGGUAGAGAUUCCUGUACCAGUGCUAAUUGUUUAACCGAUGGGGUGACACAGAAGGAUAGGGAAUCGCACGAAUGGAAAUGUGCGUCCAAGCAGUGAGUGUGAG
rnacentral:rRNA from 1 species